CAAAGAUGAACACACUUCUUACCAUCCUUCUCUGUACCUUUGCCGAUAGGGAGAGGUGUCAGCUUCCCGACCCUUCUGGGUUUGAGUUGCCUGCAGUCAUGUACAGCUGUGCCAUCUUCAAAAAUACAUCAAGUUCAAGAUCAGGAUCAACUGCAAGGUCAUCACGAGAAACAUCGGGGCCAAUUUCAACUCAGUCAUGGAGUGUAAGAUCAUUGUCAAGAUCUCAUUCCCAGUCGACAGCUCACCAAAGUCGUCCUUGUACUUCACAUCAACACGGAAACAUUCCUACAUCCCGAGAGUCUUCCAAUCCAUAUGAAAUAAUAUAUAGUUGACAUGAUCAUUCUCCACAUCGUCCUCCUUAUCAACGCAGGCCUGAUACAGCCCAUCAUCGUGAUUAUCUCCCGGAUUGAUAUGAGACUUCUUUGGACCCGAGAAGAUCCGUGUUAGAAUUUGUCUUUAGCAACCAUUACUUAUCGUAAGAGACGACUAACGGAAUUGAGUGUCAGGCACACUGACUUGGUUUGGUGCAUGUCAUCAUAUCCGAGUUGCGUAGUUCAAUGAUCAUGAAGUCAAUCACUGUCUGAUCCAGACUCGAUUAUUCACAGACCACCGUCAUACAGCUGGAAUAUUGCUGAGUGCGGCGUCAAAAAACAAACAAACCAUAAGUCUUUCCAACACCAUUCAAGGAGAGCAUUGUCAGAGGAAGCAUCUUACAGGGAAGCCAAGGUUGGCACUGAGGUCACACAACCGAACCCCAAACUCAAGCUGAUCUGGCUCUUCUCUUAUGUUGUCUAGUAUAAGCGGAGACAGUUCAGACACAGCAGGUCAUGCAUGUCAAGUCCACCAACAUUUCAGAAUGGUUGCGACGGGCUAUCUACUUUUAGAAAGAAAUGAUGGACUUGAUGAAGAAUAAUCCUUGAAGAUCAUGCGAAACCCUACAGUUUACCUACAAAACCUCAUGACCUGGAAGAAAUUGAGAGGAAUCUCGCUCACCCUGCUCAACAAUACCUUCUGGGAUGUAAGAUGUUGGCAUGACGUAUAAGUUAUGCUAGUCGACUACAAAACAAAUAUUUGAUGCAAAACGAACAUAUUUCUUAAAAGGUGUUUUCUUUACUUAUUAGCAGCAGAAUUUCUGCACUUGUACACAGCGGACGUACACUACUGCCUAAAAGUUCAUUCCCCUAACACGCGUUGAGAACGCGUGUGACACGCAUAUGACACUGGUGUGCAACGGGUUGGCAGCGCGUGUGCAACCCGUUGAGCACGCGUGAGUCACUCGUUGCACACGCGUGUGCCAUGCGUGUAACACGGGCCCUGGUUUCAGUUGAAGUUGGAAAAUAUAUUAA